rnacentral:rRNA from 1 species
GAUGAACGCUGGCGGCGUGCCUAAUACAUGCAAGUCGAGCGAACGGACGAGAAGCUUGCUUUUCUGAUGUUAGCGGCGGACGGGUGAGUAACACGUGGAUAACCUACCCAUAAGACUGGGAUAACUUCGGGAAACCGGAGCUAAUACCGGAUAAUAUUUUGAACCGCAUGGUUCAAAAGUGAAAGACGGUCUUGCUGUCACUUAUAGAUGGAUCCGCGCUGCAUUAGCUAGUUGGUAAGGUAACGGCUUACCAAGGCAACGAUGCAUAGCCGACCUGAGAGGGUGAUCGGCCACACUGGAACUGAGACACGGUCCAGACUCCUACGGGAGGCAGCAGUAGGGAAUCUUCCGCAAUGGGCGAAAGCCUGACGGAGCAACGCCGCGUGAGUGAUGAAGGUCUUCGGAUCGUAAAACUCUGUUAUUAGGGAAGAACAUAUGUGUAAGUAACUGUGCACAUCUUGACGGUACCUAAUCAGAAAGCCACGGCUAACUACGU